UUUAUUUAUUUAUGUGGGAAUCAGAAGUUGUAGUUUUUGAGCAACGUUAGCAUGGCAAGCUAGCAAAAAAUGGCGUUCCUUCAAUGCUCCGAAUAUUGUGAAACUUCAGCACAGGAAUCCCUGACUUAAGCAGAACGGAAUGAUAUAACAUACAAUAUGACAAUAUUAAGAAUGUGGGCGUUGCUAACAAAAACUUCCGUUGCUAAGGAAAUCCAAAAAUGUACUUUUACCAAUUCUUCUAAAAGUGGCAUCGAUCUGUUCGUCACUCCCAGGCGAUCAAAAAAUUUAACGGUUGCUAUGGAGAUAAAACCAACAUAAAAGCCGCCAUUUUGAAAAAAGGAUUCUACUUGGCAGGAGUGGGUCGUCUGUGGGUUUUGUCACUUCCUGCUUUAAUUAUGCUAGUUUUUUUGUCACUAUUAGCAAAAUGAACAACAAGUUGAUUAAUACUAACUCAAGAAACACAGACUAAGGAAAUAUUAUUGGGAAAACCUCUGCAGUGUAGAGACGAGCCUGCAGGCGGACUGACAGGAAGGCAGCUGGGACGUCUGUAUCGAUCCGGAGACGAGCGGCGUCCUCCCAGAGCAGAGGAGACGAGGAAACACGAGGCAGGACCUCGCCGUUACAAGCCGCGCUUCCCUCCAUUCAGACCCACGAACGAGCUCUGUCGCCGCCGCGCACGCCGCAUCAUGUGAUCCCUUCCCGUCCUCUGUCGCUUCAAUUAAAAGCCUAAUGGAUGUUUUAGCGCUCUGCCACUUCGAUGACGGCGCCCUAAUCUGCCAGCGUUGGAUCUCUGCGAGGCUGAAGGAUGGCAGAAACGAGGAGGAGGAGGAGGGACGGCUUACAGGUUAGGAGGGGGGCACUGACAAUACAAUCAUGGUGAGACACUGCGGCGUGAGGAGUUUUUUCUGUUUUCACACGAGGCAGACCCAAAGGGGUGGUCCUGGUCAGGGCAUCUCGCCGGAGAGCCUGGUCUCACCUCGCUGACAUGGAAGCCACCCCGGCUGUCACUUUGCAUCUCCGACGCCCGGAGAGGGAGACCAUGACCAUCCUGACAGGGGCAGCAGAAGGAUUUCACUCCUGAACUUGUUGGCACGGCGAGACUGCAAUGUGUGUCUGUCUUCGAGUGUUUCUACCUCGGCGCGAUUGCACGCCCACAGAUCUCCCAGCUCCGUCGCAGCAGCAGCAACAAAAUAAUAAAUAAACCUCACAACUUUUUGUCACACUUCAAUCACAUAAUAUUACCCUGCCGCAUGUUGGGAAUUAAUAGAUGUGGGCUCCUCUUCUCUUCUCUUCUUCUUUUUUUGACUUUUCCUGAAAUGAUGAAUGAAUCCAUAAGUUGUAAACAAAGAGUUUUCCUUGGGGGUCAGCGUCCUGAAGCCGCAGCAUCGGCGCUCAAACGUUAUUCUCUGCUCUGUUCGUCAUCCUGGCAGUGAGAGCGAAUUCCACCAUCUUCCCUCUGCUGUGCAGCAUGUGGCCCUCCUUCAGAGGAAGGCAGGAGAUAU